CCUACGGGUGGCUGCAGUAAGGAAUAUUGGGCAAUGGACGCAAGUCUGACCCAGCCAUGCCGCGUGGAGGAUGAAGGUCCUCUGGAUUGUAAACUUCUUUUAUCUGGGAAGAAAUCCAUGAAUUCUUUCGUGGUUGACGGUACCAGAUGAAUAAGCACCGGCUAACUCCGUGCCAGCAGCCGCGGUAAUACGGAGGGUGCAAGCGUUAUCCGGAUUCACUGGGUUUAAAGGGUGCGUAGGUGGGCAGGUAAGUCAGUGGUGAAAUCUCCGGGCUU
rnacentral:rRNA from 1 species